UACGUAGGGUGCGAGCGUUGUCCGGAAUUAUUGGGCGUAAAGGGCUCGUAGACGGUUUGUCGCGUCGGGAGUGAAAACCAGGUGCUUAACACCUGGCUUGCUUUCGAUACGGGCAGACUAGAGGUAUGCAGGGGAGAACGGAAUUCCUGGUGUAGCGGUGAAAUGCGCAGAUAUCAGGAGGAACACCGGUGGCGAAGGCGGUUCUCUGGGCAUGACCUGACGCUGAGGAGCGAAAGUGUGGGGAGCGAACAGG
rnacentral:rRNA from 1 species